rnacentral:rRNA from 1 species
UACGCUGGCGGCGUGCUUACACCUGCAAGUCCAACGAACCUUCGGGUUAGUGGCGGACGGGUGAGUAACGCGUGAGAAUCUGCCCUCAGGAGGGGGAUAACGGCUGGAAACGGCCGCUAAUACCCCAUAUGCCGCGAGGGUGAAAUGAAUUUCGCCUGAGGAUGAGCUCGCGUCUGAGUUAGCUAGUUGGUGGGGUAAGAGCCUACCAAGGCAUCGAUCAGUAGCUGGUCUGAGAAGGGAUGAUCAGCCACAACUGGGGAACCUGAGUACACGGGCCCAGACUCCUACGGGAGGCAGCAGUGGGGAACUUUUACCUGCAAUGGGCGAAAGCCUGACGGAGCAACGCCGCGUGAGGGAUGAAGGCCUCUGGGCUGUAAACCUCUUUUAUCAAGGAAGAAGAUCUGACGGUACUUGAUGAAUAAGCCACGGCUAAUUCCGUGCCAGCAGCCGCGGUAAUACGGGAGUGGCAAGCGUUAUCCGGAAUUAUUGGGCGUAAAGCGUCCGCAGGCGGUUUUGUAAGUCUGUUGUUAAAGCGUGGAGCUUAACUCCAUUUGAGCAAUGGAAACUGCAAGACUAGAGUGUGGUAGGGGCAGAGGGAAUUCCCGGUGUAGCGGUGAAAUGCGUAGAUCUCGGGAAGAACACCAGUGGCGAAGGCGCUCUGCUGGGCCAUAACUGACCGCUCAUGGACGA